rnacentral:rRNA from 1 species
AAAUUGAAGAGUUUGAUCAUGGCUCAGAUUGAACGCUGGCGGCAGGCCUAACACAUGCAAGUCGAACGGUAACAGGAAGCAGCUUGCUGCUUUGCUGACGAGUGGCGGACGGGUGAGUAAUGUCUGGGAAACUGCCUGAUGGAGGGGGAUAACUACUGGAAACGGUGGCUAAUACCGCAUAACGUCGCAAGACCAAAGAGGGGGACCUUCGGGCCUCUUGCCAUCAGAUGUGCCCAGAUGGGAUUAGCUUGUUGGUGAGGUAACGGCUCACCAAGGCGACGAUCCCUAGCUGGUCUGAGAGGAUGACCAGCCACACUGGAACUGAGACACGGUCCAGACUCCUACGGGAGGCAGCAGUGGGGAAUAUUGCACAAUGGGCGCAAGCCUGAUGCAGCCAUGCCGCGUGUAUGAAGAAGGCCUUCGGGUUGUAAAGUACUUUCAGCGGGGAGGAAGGUGUUGCGGUUAAUAACCGCAGCAAUUGACGUUACCCGCAGAAGAAGCACCGGCUAACUCCGUGCCAGCAGCCGCGGUAAUACGGAGGGUGCAAGCGUUAAUCGGAAUUACUGGGCGUAAAGCGCACGCAGGCGGUCUGUCAAGUCGGAUGUGAAAUCCCCGGGCUCAACCUGGGAACUGCAUUCGAAACUGGCAGGCUUGAGUCUUGUAGAGGGGGGUAGAAUUCCAGGUGUAGCGGUGAAAUGCGUAGAGAUCUGGAGGAAUACCGGUGGCGAAGGCGGCCCCCUGGACAAAGACUGACGCUCAGGUGCGAAAGCGUGGGGAGCAAACAGGAUUAGAUACCCUGGUAGUCCACGCCGUAAACGAUGUCUACUUGGAGGUUGUGCCCUUGAGGCGUGGCUUCCGGAGCUAACGCGUUAAGUAGACCGCCUGGGGAGUACGGCCGCAAGGUUAAAACUCAAAUGAAUUGACGGGGGCCCGCACAAGCGGUGGAGCAUGUGGUUUAAUUCGAUGCAACGCGAAGAACCUUACCUGGUCUUGACAUCCACAGAAGAAUCCAGAGAUGGAUUUGUGCCUUCGGGAACUGUG